GAUGAACGCUGACAGAAUGCUUAACACAUGCAAGUCAACUUGAACUUCGGUUUGGGUGGCGGACGGGUGAGUAACGCGUAAAGAACUUGCCUCACAGCUAGGGACAACAUUUGGAAACGAAUGCUAAUACCUGAUAUUAUGAUUAUAUGGCAUCGUAUAAUUAUGAAAGCUAUAUGCGCUGUGAGAGAGCUUUGCGUCCCAUUAGCUAGUUGGAGAGGUAACAGCUCACCAAGGCGAUGAUGGGUAGCCGGCCUGAGAGGGUGAUCGGCCACAAGGGGACUGAGACACGGCCCUUACUCCUACGGGAGGCAGCAGUGGGGAAUAUGGGACAAGGGACCGAGAGUCUGAUCCAGCAAUUCUGUGUGCACGAUGAAGUUUUUCGGAAUGUAAAGUGCUUUCAGUUGGGAAGAAAAAAAUGACGGUACCAACAGAAGAAGUGACGGCUAAAUACGUG
rnacentral:rRNA from 1 species